rnacentral:rRNA from 1 species
CAAUUACCCACUCCCGGCACGGGGAGGUAGUGACGAAAAAUAACAAUACUGGACUCUAUUGAGGCCCCGUAAUUGGAAUGGGUACAAUCCANACCCUUUAACGAGUAUCAAUUGGAGGGCAAGUCUGGUGCCAGCAGCCGCGGUAAUUCCAGCUCCAAUAGCGUAUAUUAAAGUUGUUGUGGUUAAAAAGCUCGUAGUUGGAUCUCAGAUCCGGACUGUCGGUCCACCGCCCGGUGGUUACUGUCAGGCCCGGACGUUCGGCCGGAUUCCCUCGGUGCUCUUUGCCGGGUGUCUUGGGUGUCCGGCACGUUUACUUUGAAAAAAUUAGAGUGCUCAAAGCAGGCGGACCGCCUGAAUAAUGGUGCAUGGAAUAAUGGAAUAAGACCUCGUCUCUAUUUUGUUGGUUUUCGGAAAACGAGGAAAUGAUUAAGAGGGACAGACGGGGGCAUUCGUAUUGCGACGCUAGAGGUGAAAUUCUUGGACCGUCGCAAGACGAACUACUGCGAAAGCAUUUGCCAAGAAUGUUUUCAUUANUCAAGAACGAAAGUUAGAGGUUCGAAGGCGAUCAGAUACCGCCCUAGUUCUAACCAUAAACGAUGCCGACCAGCAAUCCGCCUGAGUUCCUCAAUGACUCGGCGGGCAGCUUCCGGGAAACCAAAGUGUUUGGGUUCCANGGGAAGUAUGGGUUGCAAAGCUGAAACUUAAAGGAAUUGACNGNAGGGCNCCACCAGGGAGUGGAAGCCUGCCGGCUUAAUUUGACUCCACNCGGGAAAACUUNCCCCGGCCCGGACCNCUUGGAAGGAUUGACNGAUUUAANAGCUCUUUCCUUGAUU